CCUACGUGUGGCAGCAGUCGAGAAUCAUUCACACUGGGGGAAACCCUGAUGCAGCGACGCCGCGUGAGCGAUGAAGUAUUUCGGUAUGUAAAGCUCUAUCAGCAGGGAAGAAACUGACGGUACCUGCCUAUGAAGCCCCGGCUAACUACGUGCAAGCCGCCGCGGUAAUCCGUAGGGGGCAAGCGUUAUCCGGAUUUACUGGGUGUAAAGGGAGCGUAGACGGCUUGGCAAGCCAGAUGUGAAAGGCUGGGGCUCAACCCCAGGACUGCAUUUGGAACUGUCAUGCUAGAGUGUCGGAGAGGCAGGCGGAAUUCCUAGUGUAGCGGUGAAAUGCGUAGAUAGUAGGAGGAACACCAGUGGCGAAGGCGGCCUGCUGGACGAUGACUGACGUUGAGGCUCGAAAGCGUGGGGAGCAAACAGGAGUAGAUACCCCUGUAGUC
rnacentral:rRNA from 1 species